rnacentral:rRNA from 1 species
AGUGAACGCUGGCGGUAGGCCUAACACAUGCAAGUCGAACGGCAGCACAGGAGAGCUUGCUCUCUGGGUGGCGAGUGGCGGACGGGUGAGGAAUACAUCGGAAUCUACUCUGUCGUGAGGGAUAACGUAGGGAAACUUACGCUAAUACCGCAUACGACCUACGGGUGAAAGCAGGGGACCUUCGGGCCUUGCGCGAUUGAAUGAGCCGAUGUCGGAUUAGCUAGUUGGCGGGGUAAAGGCCCACCAAGGCGACGAUCCGUAGCUGGUCUGAGAGGAUGAUCAGCCACACUGGAACUGAGACACGGUCCAGACUCCUACGGGAGGCAGCAGUGGGGAAUAUUGGACAAAGGGCGCAAGCCUGAUCCAGCCAUACCGCGUGGGUGAAGAAGGCCUUCGGGUUGUAAAGCCCUUUUGUUGGGAAAGAAAUCCAGCUGGCUAAUACCCGGUUGGGAUGACGGUACCCAAAGAAUAAGCACCGGCUAACUUCGUGCCAGCAGCCGCCGUAA